CAAGUCGAGCGCAGAUGGAGGUGACACAAAGCGGAUAAGAGAACAGAAUGCGAAGCAUUCUUUUCCUUUGUAUUCUUUGUGUCACUUCUUGAUGAGCGGCAGACGGGUGAGUAACGCGUUGGAAUCUACCCCAGAGUGAGGGAUAGCCCGGAGAAAUCCGGAUUAAUACCGCAUAGUCCCGAGAGGGUAAAAGAGCAAUCUGCUCUGGGAGGAUCCUGCGUCCUAUCAGCUAGUUGGCGGGGUAAAAGCCCACCAAGGCUAUGACGGGUAGUUGGUCUGAGAGGAUGACCAACCACAAUGGGACUGAGACACGGCCCAUACUCCUACGGGAGGCAGCAGUGAGGAAUCUUCCGCAAUGGGCGCAAGCCUGACGGAGCGACACCGCGUGGAGGACGAAGCCUUUGUUGGUGUAAACUCCUUUUUUCUCCGAAGAUAAUGACGGUAGGAGAAGAAUAAGAAGCAGCAAACUACGUGCCAGCAGCUGCGGUAAUACGUAGGCUUCAAGCGUUAUCCGGAAUUACUGGGUGUAAAGCGUCUGUAGGCGGCAGAGUAAGUUUGGCAUGAAAGACCGGGGCUUAACCCCGUGUUUGUGUCGAAAACUGCUCAGCUAGAAUCUGGGAGAGGGAAGCAGAAUGAUGUGAGUAGGGGUGCAAUCCGUUGAUACACAUCAGAAUACCAAAAGCGAAGGCAGCUUCCUGGAACAGUAUUGACGCUCAGAGACGAAAGCGUGGGGAGCGAAAAGGAUUAGAUACCCUUGUAGUCCACGCCCUAAACGAUGAUGACUAGGUGUCGGCGUAAGCCGGUGCUAUAAGCUAACGCGUUAAGUCAUCCACCUGAGGAGUACGGCCGCAAGGUUAAAACUCAAAUGAAUAGACGGGGACCCACACAAGCAGUGGAUCAUGUGGUUUAAUUCGACAAUAAACGAGGGACCUUACCCAGGCUUGACAUCCCGAGAAGUCCGAUGAAAGUUGGAUGUGCCCGCAAGGGAACUUGGUGACAGGCGCUGCAUGGUUGUCGUCAGCUCGUGCCUUGAGGUGUUCGGUUAAGUCCGUUAAC
rnacentral:rRNA from 1 species